GACCGCUCCGGUGGCUUAAGUGGUUAUAGCGCCACCUCGGAUGCGGUAGGUAGCGGGUUUGAAACCCGGCCGAGUCA